GGAGGGUAUAGCUCAGUGGUAGAGUGUGUGCUUAGCAUGCACAAGGUCCUGGGUUCAAUCCCUAGUACCUCCA
rnacentral:tRNA from 1 species